UACGAAGGGGGCUAGCGUUGUUCGGAUUUACUGGGCGUAAAGCGCACGUAGGCGGAUCGUUAAGUCGGGGGUGAAAUCCUGGAGCUCAACUCCAGAACUGCCUUCGAUACUGGCGAUCUUGAGUCCGGAAGAGGUGAGUGGAACUCCUAGUGUAGAGGUGGAAUUCGCAGAUAUCAGGAGGAACACCGGUGGCGAAGGCGGUUCUCUGGGCAUGUCCUGACGCUGAGGAGCGAAAGUGUGGGGAGCGAACAGG
rnacentral:rRNA from 1 species